UCACAGCAGGAAGAUUGGCCUCUUUACAUUGGAAGACCUCUGGCUGUGGUGUUUGCAUUUCAGAGCCUUUCCACCUGUUUUUGAUAAGCUGGGUGAAAUUGCUCAGCAAGUAACAUGACUUUGACAAAACACUAAAUCUUUUGGCCAAUGUUGCUCAGAAGAUGAGAGGAGAGAGGAACGGGGCAGAAGUUCACAUUCAAGAAGGCAAUAUGAAACUACCUAUAGACAUCAAAUGGGAUCAAGGACCAUUGUACUUUCAUACUGGUGUCCUUUUGUGAAGCAUUUAAAAUCAAAAUACUCUGGACACAUAAAGGAAGCAGAUUUACAUCUUCCUAGAAAGAAGAACAGAAGUGACCAGUCACUGUUGCCAGGAGCAUUCUGCCUUUUUCAGAAGAACUUCUCAAGGAGCCCAGGUACUCUCAUUUGAGUCCUUCAGCACAGAUUCCAUGUCCCACACAAA